rnacentral:rRNA from 1 species
UACGAAGGGUGCAAGCGUUACUCGGAAUUACUGGGCGUAAAGCGUGCGUAGGCGGUUUGUUAAGUCUGAUGUGAAAGCCCUGGGCUCAACCUGGGAAUGGCAUUGGAUACUGGCAACCUAGAAUGUGGUAGAGGGUGGCGGAAUUCCCGGUGUAGCAGUGAAAUGCGUAGAUAUCGGGAGGAACAUCCGUGGCGAAGGCGGCCACCUGGACCAACAUUGACGCUGAGGCGCGAAAGCUAGGGGAGCAAACGGG